rnacentral:rRNA from 1 species
UACAGAGGGUGCUAGCGUUGUUCGGAAUCAUUGGGCGUAAAGGGCGUGUAGGCGGUUUGUUAAGUCGUGUGUGAAAUCCCUCGGCUCAACCGGGGAAUGGCGCCUGAUACUGGCGGACUCGAGAUCGGUAGGGGUGAGUGGAACUCCAGGUGGAGCGGUGAAAUGCGUAGAUAUCUGGAGGAACACCGGUGGCGAAAGCGACUCACUGGACCGACACUGACGCUGAGGUGCGAAAGCUAGGGUAGCAAACGGG